ACAGAAAUAAAUAAAAUUACUUGCUAUCCGCAAGUGAAUAAGCAACAUUAUAUGACGAAACACUGUCAUAGUGAUCAAAAGACUUCAUAAAUAUUCAAAAUAAAUAUUUUACUUGUUUGGAGGAAGAAACAAAAGCAAGCAUUUCAGAGUAAGUAGGAAGGGCUACAAAGCCAUUGUCAUCAAAAUUAAAUUCUAACGUAAAAAAAAAGACUUCAUAAAUAUUCAAAAUAAAUAUUUUACUUGUUUGGAGGAAGAAACAAAAGCAAGCAUUUCAGAGUAAGUAGGAAGGGCUACAAAGCCAUUGUCAUCAAAAUUAAAUUCUAACGUAAAAAUAGUAACUAAAUUUGUCUCAAAAAUAAAACAGGAAGGAUAAAAUCUCAUAAACAAAAAAACAGUACUAAUAACGUCCAAUGCCCCGGACUCUAACAACACCAUCGGUAUAUCCACUAAACAAAGUGCUUCCAUCAGCACUCCAGUUCAAACUAGUGCAGUAAAUGUCCUGCAAAGAAAACGCCAGAAGUAGAGCAAAUAUAUAACUGAAUUGGAAAAACAACAAACCGAAUGCAGAUGCUUGUGUAAAACAAGCCAGAAAUAAAUAGAUUAAAUUUGAGACAUUGUUGAUUAAUACAUACAACAACUAAACAAAGAUUAUUUCAUCAAAUUGCAGCAAGAGAUAAACAACAUAAAUAAAACUCAGGUUAACAAAACCAGUAAAAGAUAAAUGCAAAACCAGUCAUCAAAUAGCUGCAAAAGAUAACACACAUAACCAGUAAAUGAACUUAAAUCAUCAGCAUUAAACCGACACAACAAAACUUCUAGCAUAUCAUAUAAGCUUGAAAAAUAUGGAAAAAAUAAUGGCAGGCAGGAAACAACCAACACUAAAUAAAAAUCAUCUAAACAACUUAAUCAUCUGCGCCAGAUGACUAGCGUUCAGGGAAUUACGAAUAAAACCAAUUAAGAAACAAUCAACUUCAAUUCAAUACCAGGCAAAUAACCAAACAUUCAAACCAUUUCAAGAGUCAUAAACAGAAAGCCCAUAGUCAAAGUAAACAAAAUAAGAAAAAUUCCCUGACAUAUGAUGCAUUUCGCGUGACACAAAAGUUAAAACCAUUUUGUCCAUGGAAGAAAGACAUAUUCAACAUAAAGUAGUCACAAAUUUAAAGAACGACACGACUCCAAAAGAAUAUUCGUUAACAUUAAACAAAUAAGUACGCCCUGCACAGUUAGGAUAAAUCUCUUUACAGAACAAUUCACAUAGUAUCAUCCAUUUAUCAGAUGUUGAAUAAGCUCAGAAAAUCAGGUAAAUAAAAAAAAUUCAAAAAGCAAGAACUAACAAAAUUUAAAUCAACUAGUGUGAUUAAUAACUGUAAUAUAAAAUUUAAAAAAUAUACCUCUUCUUUGGUAGUGUUACCACCGGUGACGGUGUAGCCAUCAGCUCAUGACUUUAAGUCAACUUCAAAUCCUCAACAUGCCUUGCUCUCAAAUGCCGCAGAUCUUUAAUGCUGACUUCGAGUGCAGCACAUAGCCUGAUACCUGUUAGUACUAAAAGCACAAGGCAUGGAUAAUAGAACCCCAUCUUAAGAGAGUAAAGUUCUUCUCCUAGCCAAAAAUCCCACAAAAGAAUAACACCAUCUUUGCAACCACUGGCACAGAGGGAACCAUCAGAGGGAACAUCAAGCAAUCAGGUGUUGAUCAUAUCCAGAGUGUCCAGCUAAGAGUGUUCUCACGCUACCAGAUCUUGCAGUUUGUCAGAUUUCCAAACCUUCAACAGUUUUAUCGCUCAUGAGCAGAGACAAUAGUACGGCUUGUUAGAGUGCUUAGGGCCUCGAACGCACUACAGCCUAACCAAUCAGAAUUGAGCUAUCACCGUCGGCCAUAGCCUGUACUUGCGCACCUCACCGAGAGUGUUCAACAGCUUAAUCGGUGCACGAUAAAACUAGUUUAAGGUAUGCCCAUUAGGUUCUAUAAGCGCUGUCCCGGUUGUUCCAAUAGACAUCUAGUAUGAUCCUGUCGAGAUCUUCCUUGGACCACCCUUCUCAUUACUUGUGUCAACGCAUCUCUAUCCGAUUUAGAAUAAGUUCAGUACAGAUAUAAAGUAUCCCUAUACUAUCUAACAGCAAACAGAUUAACAUUACAUAAUUCUCUAAGUUUCUCAUCUAUUUUCUCUAUCAACUAAUACAAGCUCUUAGUUUCUAUUUCAAAAAUGAAGAAGCAUUUGGUACCUGCUCUGUAAUUGUUUUUGAGAAGCGCACCCCUCCUCCAAAUACACCCACAUGGCCUUCAGGGACUGUGAACAAUGACAAGGAAUUUUAUAAGGAUGAUGAUUGCUGUGGGAACCAAAACCUAUAGAUAACAUAAGACAUGUCUUAAGCUUUAAGUUGUCAAUAAACACUAACACAAACCGAUGUACAACUGAAAGUAACCAGUGUGUCAAUGUCCGCCGACACAUGUCAGAUACAAUAGAAAUAUUCAAUCAGAAAUGUCGGGCUACAUAGUUAGAUGUUGACAACAAUCAAUUCAAUGAAACAUAACCUCAUUAAGCAUUAUCAAUCAAAUCAAUCAAACAAGAACGAAUAUCAAACAACAACAAAUUAAGACAAAGAUUCCAUUGCCUAUGCAUUAUCAUCAAAAUCAAAGCAAGCAAAACAAUUUCAAAACAACAACUAAUGUCAUCUAAACACGCAAGUGUUACACAAGAGUGCCCUAAAAAUACAUCAACAUUGACACAUAAUUAUUAUCACACUAAUUUUUUAUGUGCGAUUGUUUUCAAUGCUGUUAAAUAUAGUUUUUCUAUAUGAAAAUUCAAACAAUGGAUAUUUCACGGCGAUAUAGAUAACAAAAAACAAAAACAGGAAUCGAAUGUUUAACUUUUCAGUAAUACAUUUGGGAAAGAGAUACAGUGAGAUAGAGAGUAUUACGAUAGCGCAAUGGCUAUGAAGGAGAGCAAGAUGAAGGUAACGGAAGGUGGAGUUGAAUCGGUGUGGCGAGCUCGUGUUGGAACGCUGCGAAUCCAUGGCGGUGCAACUUUCUUGGCUGUUUGAUUCUGAGUUUGGGUUUGGUAUAUUUUGCUUUAUUGGUCAUCAUGCGGUUCUUCUAAAACACGUUCAAUGAUUGAAACCGAAAAAUUGGAAGUGUAUUCGGUUCGCUGUUAUGGUUUUCGCUGAUAGGGUUCAACGUUCGCAGGAGGAAAACAAAAGAACAGAGAACGAAAAUUGAAAUGGAGUCUGAAAUUUUAUUUUAAUUAGACCUUAGACAGCGCUUUGUGGAAAGCGGCUUUCUAAGUAUGCCUUUUAGACAGCGCUUUCCAAAAGCGCUUUCUAACCCCCCCUUAGACAGCGCUUUGGUUUUAAUUUUUUUUUAAUUUAAAGACUUUAGACAGCGCUUUAUCAAAAGCGCUGACUAAGGUCUAUAUUUAAAAGCGCUGUCUAAGGGGGGGUCUUAGACAGCGCUUUUAGAAAGCGCUGUCUAAGACCCCCCUUUAGACAACGCUUUCAUUAUUUUUUUGGAACAUUUUCCGUGUUUUAUUUUAAUUUUAACCUUAGACAACGCUUUCUUUUAAAAGCGUUGUCUAAGAUGCGCUGUUAAAAGUCAUUUUUGGCGUAGUGUUCCCAUUUUCUCGAACAAGGUAUAGGGCAUUAGAUUGACUGCAACACCCCGUCGACAAACACCUUAUUCACCGCCAUUCCAUCAACCUUAACUCUGAUGAACAAUGGUUUUAGGUGGUACAUCAUCCCAGGACUAGGCCUUUCAAACAUAGCUUUAUGUUCUUCCACCACGCUGUUAUUCAUGACAUAGUAGCAUAAAGGUUUUCCUCCAUCUGUUUCGUCUGGUAUAAAGUCUCCCUUUAUUUCAGAAACUUUAAAUACCAUGUCAUAUUCAGCUGGUAGCACCGACACAAUGCCACAGUUUACGACGAAAUCAUCACCAUAUAUAUCAUCGUGGUUUUCGUCGUACAUGUCCUCGUCAAAUACCUCGUCAGACUGAGGGGAAUAUUCAGGCCCCCCCUUCUCUGGUUGGGGAGAAUACUCUGGUUCCUCCUCCUUCGAAUUGCCCUCGCUUCGUGGCUGUCUCUCGAUCUCUGACGAACAUUCCACAUUCUGAGUAGCUAUCACUGCCUCUUUUCCCGUCCAGUCGACGGUCAUGGCCACUGUCUGAUUGGCCAUCAUUUUUCCUGGUCCUUUUGCCUUUGACAUCUGUUCCUUUUGUUCAGUGGUCUUUGAAGUCUUCGACUGUGGAGUGGUAAUGACUUUCCGAGCUUUUUUGUUUUGCUGGUGGCGUCUCCACUGUGUCAUCGUCAUUUUAUUCUUUCCCUUGUAGUUAGGGGAGAUUGUGUAGCAUCUUUUCUUCUCUGGAGAUGUUGUCUCUUUCUCCAACACCCUCAAUUUGGCUUUUUGCCCCCUUUCUGAUUGACAGAUUCUAUCCAUUUCUCCUGUGGAACAUCAGUUGGAGGAAUGAAAGUCUUUGGUCGGGAACGCUUAAAUUGUCUUCUAUAAUCCUCGUUCCGUCGAGGUGCUCUAUGAAUGUCAAUCACAGAUCAUGGGACAUCAGGCUUUUCCUCUUUAACAACCUUGUUGUCGGCCUCUAGUCUUUCGACGGUUUUCUCGUCGAACACCGCGCUGCACUUUGGGCACAUCACAUCUUUUGACCCAUUUCCCUUGCACUUCUCCUGGAAGUAUGACAAGCUUUUUCCAGGCUAGGGACAGGGCGACUCGGGCCUCCUUUCGUCUUUGUUUCCGAAACACUCAGUAGUUUCGACCAUCAUCAUUUCAAAUGAUUCAACUAACGAGGUUGCUUUGGAAACCUCAAUGAGAACAUUAGUAGUCUCUACCAUUUUGCACUCUAGAGGCUCUGCAUACAAAUCUUCUUCCACCUUCAGAGGUUCAAAAUCCACCUGCAUUUUUGGCCUUUCGACAAACUGGAGCCUUCCUUCUUUCAGAGAUUUCUGCACCAAAUCCCUAAAAAGAACACAUUGGUGAGUUUUGUGACCAAGGAAAUUAUGAAAUUUAUAAAAUCCACCUUUCUUCUUUUGUUCUAGGGGAGGGUCUUUUAAACCCUGAGGGAUGAUAAUCUGACCAUCUUUUACUAAUAGAUCAAAGAUUCCGUCGCACUUAGACACAUCGAACGUAUAUGUCUUAGCUAUGUAUUUGUCUGUUCUCUCUCGUUCGACAAGGUUUUUUCCAUCCGAUGGCUUCAAAACCUUACACGCAUAUGGAGGUCCGGGCUUAAGUUUUGCCACAUUAACCUCACUCCUGUCGACUGUAUCUUCGUCAUCGGAAGAGACUCCUUCGACUAUGAUAUAGGACACUUUUUCCUUCUUAUGAUAUCGACCCGCCUUUGACUUCUCAUCUUUCAAGCAUUCGAUACGUCAAACCCUAUCAGCCAAUUGGGCCAUAUCCCUAAGAUAUUGAGUAUCCAUCCUUUUCCUUAUAGAAUAAUCUAGAUCCCCUGUCGCCAUCUCGAUUAGUUCGUGUUCAGGGACUUGAGUAAAGCACCAUGCCUUCAGUAGUCUAAACCUGUUCAGGUACUGAUCAAUUGAUUUAGUAACCUUUCGCUUAAUGUUAGCAAGUUCUUUGAGGUUGAUCUUUGAUUGUCCCAUGUAGAAUUGUUCAUGGAACAACCUCUCCAACUGUGUUCAUGUUUGGAUCGACUUUGGAGGAAGCAUCGUGAACCAUAUGAACGCGUUUUUUGUCAAAGAACUUGGGAAGUAUUUUAACUUCAAAUCUUCAUUUUUCGAUAUGUCUCCAGCCUCGGUCUGGUACCUGGCCACGUGCUCGACGGUGGAUUCUUCAGUAUCCCUAGCGAACUUAGUAAAUUAGGGACUUUCCAUCCCCUUGGCAAUUCUGUCUGUAAGACAAAAUCUGGUAGAGGAGAGGAGUACGUCGGCCGUUGGAUGCAAAGACUUGCUCCAUUUCACAGUAUGAUCCAUUCGAAGAUAGCCUCUAGGUUUUGUUCCCCUAUGGCUGCAUCGUGUCGAACUUGUCGAACCACCUGGUCUGGAUCCUGGUUACGGUUAACCAGUAUCACGGGGGCCUUUGUGCCACCCUUCGGAUGUGUUCGAAUUCCUGAUAUUCCUGUUCGACAGUGUCAUCUAUCAUCUUUUCUUGUCGAACUGGUGUUUCUGGUCGAGGAGGAGGUGUGGGAUUUCGACAAACUUAAGCCCUUGGAGCUCCCCAAAAAAUAUCCAAUCCUUAUCAUUUGGGUCUCCAACUAGUGGCAACUCUGCGUCGAAUCCUGGAUCAAUGGUCUCAAAAUAGUACCCAUUUGUUGAGUUAGCAUAUGUACCAUUUCAUGGUUGCUUUCGUCCAUCUGUUGUCUCAUAACGACAUCAGAGCUUGACGUAAAAGUUGGGACUGAUUGAGACGUCAAUCCGAAACCUGGGGGUCGACCAAAUGGGGUUGCCAAAUGUCCUAACCCCUAGUAAAAAGAGAAUGGCGAUGACGAGGUAUCAUUUUAAGUCGAACUGAGGUUAUGCAUAUUUGCCAUAAACUCCGUCGGCAUUCCCAACGUUCUGUUCAUGGUGCCCCUAUUUAAGGACAUUCUAACUGAGGAGGCGAAGGUUAAAAUCUUCAUGUCGACUCAGUAGAAUGGGCUUAAAUAAAAACAUAUAGAAACAAACUUUGGUCCCUAAGAGACCUCAUGAUGCAUAUGAUAUGAAUGUAAAAGUUAAUGCUCUAUGGGGAAAUAUUGCCACAAAGGAAAAAGAAGUCGGAGAGACCGAAAGUCCGCAGGAGUAAAAUGCAUUCCGUAAGGAAAACUCACUGGGGAGACCGAGACUCUGAGGGGAAAAAGAGGUUACACGUAGGCCAGGCUACGACUUAAAACUGCUGGGGGACUCGAGGGACUCCAUACAAACAUGGAAAAGACUUAGCCGAGGAACUACAACAUCUACAGGGGAUACGAGUAAGUCAGGAUAAAACUGAAGUACUUAAAUCAUGCAGGGAAAAUGAUUUCACUAAGGAAAUGCGCAUUCAAUUCAACUGGGGAGAAAUAAACUUCAACACAGGAGGAACAGAAAUCUAUUAUCUACUACCUGUUACUGGGUAAGGAGAUAAUAAAGAUCUGACAGAGAGGAUGCCCGUCAUCGGUUAGGAUGAAUAUAUCAAGGAUAGACUCAAGCAGGGGAGAGAAAGAUAUAUGUAACCGGUUAGGGUGAACAUAUCAAGGAUGUACUUCCUGGGGAAUCAGAUCCACUGGGGACUCCACUGCUGGGAAAGCUGGGGUACUUUUGCCGGGUAUUGGGCAAGAAGUAACAAACUGCAAACUAAGAAGAAUAUUACCAGUUACUGGGAAAUAGACUCUUAGGGGACUCAAAGCAUCUAUCUAGGUAAGAGCUGAAAGAAACGGUCAAUCAAGACUCAACCCAUUGAUGACAUAACCCAAGGGGAGUGAUUCCAUCCAGAUAAUUAACUGGGGAGGAAACUGAAAUAAUAAUCAUCCACGAGGAAACAAACUCAGUGGGGGAAAGGAGAAAGGUUAAAGUCUUUCUGCUUAAGGGGCUGACACUCUACAAUUGAAGGAGGACAGACACCAGAUUUUGUAUGGGGAUAGAGUACCGCCAUAACAAAGAAUAAUCUAAAACUCAGUGGGGGAAAGGAGAAAGGUUAAAGUCUUUCUGCUUAAGGGGCUGACACUCUACAAUUGAAGGAGGACAGACACCAGAUUUUGUAUGGGGAUAGAGUACCGCCAUAACAAAGAAUAAUCUUGAAUGAAUCAAUCAAAUAUGAUAAUGAAAAUCAUGAAAUUAUAUGAAUGUGUAUGUAUAUGUAUAUAUGAUGAUUAUGCUGACAACACGAUCACAAAGGAUACCGAGGCGUCGCAAAGAAUUUGAAUCAUCGGUACAAUCCUCGGUUAAUCCAUAAGAUAUGGAGAGAACUGCUGGAGAACAGAGAGAUCAUUAAUCCGAAAAGGCUCAACCCUAACUGGGGAAGAAGCAGAUCUGCUGAGGAAAGAAACCUCAAAUUUGUCGGGAAUUUUAGGUAAACACCAUAAAAAUGAGAGAUAACCCUACAGGGAAUGAUCACAAAAAAAAAGUUGCUCAGAAACCAGGAGGAAACUCUGACUAGGAGCAAGUCGGACGGCGAUUGGCGGGGAAGCCAAUGCGAUCUACUAGGGAAAUCAACCAUAUCUGCUGACGAUCAACCCUGCUGAGGAAACACAAACUCCGUUGGCGAAGGCAGAAACUCUGUCGGGGAAAAUAACACACCGUAGGGUAUCUGAAUCAACCAACUCAGCUGCAGAAAAAGAACGAAGCUUUUACUGGAGAGAACAAACAUUCCGCCGAGGAACUGAAUCAACACAAACGUCCAGGGAUACCCAAAGGGUUAAUUGCUUGGGGAACCUCUGAUGUUUCUCACUGAAGGACUUGCUAUCUCUUAAAAUGUUGUUGAUAUUCCUUUUAAUUGCUUUGAAAAAUUAUUGCUUUUAUAUAUUUUUAUGAAAAAGAGAUUUUAAUUAAAAAAUUUAAAUUUUCAAAAUGAUCAUAAUAAAAUUUAAAACUAUUGGCUGAAGUAAAUAAGAGUAGAAACAAUUGGACAAAAGCUCAACUUUAUUGGAUGGAAUAGUUGAGCUUUCGGGUUUUCAAUCCACCGAGACGCUCUUUUUUCCUAAGCCGCCCUUUCGGGUUUUCAACUUAGCGAGUUGUUCUGUUUUUAGGCGAAGUAUUUCUUGACUGCAUCUGCGUUCACAGGACGAGUGAACUCUUCACCAUCCAUAGUUGUAAGUAUCAAUGCACCGCCUGAAAAGGCUCUCUUAACAACAUAUGGGCUUUCAUAAUUAGGAGUCCAUUUUCCUCUAGAAUCUUGUUUGAAGGAUAAAAUCUUCUCGAGCACAAGGUCACCUUCUUUGAACACAUGAGGUUUGACCUUCUUAUCAAAAGCUUUCUUCAUCCUUUGCUGAUACAACUGACCAUGACACAUGGCAGUUAAUCUCUUCUCUUCAAUCAAAUUCAACUGCUCAAACCUGGUCUAACACCAUUCAACCUCAGUCAACUUGGCUUCCAUAAGCACACGCAAUGAAGGAAUCUCAACCUCUACGGGGAGCACUGCUUCCAUACCAUACACAAGAGAGAAAGGGGUUGCCCCUGUUGAAGUGCGAAUGGAUGUACGAUACCCAUGUAAAGAAAAUGGGAGCAUCUCAUGCCAAUCCUUAUAUGUGACAACCAUCUUCGGAAUAAUCUUCUUGACGUUCUUGUUCGCGGCUUCAAUAGCCCCAUUCAUCUUAGGUCUGUAGGAGAAGAGUUAUGAUGUGCAAUCUUGAAGUCUUUGCAAAGAACUUCCACCAUAUUGUUAUUCAAGUUCGAUCCAUUGUAAGUAAUGAUCUUACUUGGCACACCAUAACGACAUAUAAUUUGAUUCUUGAUAAACCUUACAACAACUUGCUUGGUUACAUUUGCAUACGACGCCGCUUCAACCCAUUUGGUGAAGUAGUCAAUUGCCACCAAAAUGAAACGAUGUCCAUUCGAAGCUUUGGGCUCAAUCAUCCCAAUCAUAUCAAUUUCCCACAUGGAGAAGGGCCAUGGGGACAAGGUAACAUUCAAUAGUGUCGGAGGAACAUGAAUCUUAUCAGCAUAAAUUUUACACUUGUGGCAUUUCUUCACAAAUUUGCAAUAGUCAGAUUCCAUUGUCAACCAAUAGUAAUCUGCUCUCAACAUCUUCUUCGCCAUUGCAUGUCCAUUGGAAUGAGUACCAAAGGAACCUUCAUGCAGUUCAGUCAUCGACAAGUUUGCUUCGUGUCUAUCCAUACAUCUGAGCAAAACCAUGUCGAAGUUUCUCUUGUAUAGUAUAUCACCAUUCAAGUAGAAAUUGCCGGCUAAUCUUCUCAAAGUCUUCUUAUCUUUCAAAGAUGCAUAAGACGGGUAAAUAUGACUUUGGAGGAAACAUUUGAUAUCGUAAUACCACGACUUCUCGUCUUUGAUCUCUUCAACAACAAUCAUUGACGCCAAUGUUGUAGGAGCAUCUGCCAUCCGGUUUUCAUCUCGAGGGAUAUGAUGAAACUCAACCUUUGUAAAGAAAGUUGAAAUCCUCCUCGCAUAAUCUCUAUAUGGUAUUAAACCGGGUUGAUUUGUCUCCCAUUCUCCUUUGACUUGAUUCACAACCAAAGCCGAAUCACCGAAGACAUCCAAAUACUUGAUUCUGAGAUUCAUGACCUCUUCGAGCCCCAUAAUGCAAGCUUCAUAUUCUGCCAUAUUGUUAGUACACUUGAAAGUCAAUCUAGCUGUAAAUGGUAGAUGCGUGCCUUGAGGAGUAAUAAUCACUGCCCCAAUGCCAUUUCCAUAUUGGUUAACAGCUCCAUCAAAUACAAUGCCCCAACGGGAUACAGGUUCUGGCCCUUCUUCAAGCAAUGGUUCAUCACAAUAUUUCAUUUUUAAGUACAAAAUCUCUUUAUCAGGGAAAUCAUAUUGCCAUGUCUGGUAAUCUUCAAUUGGUUGGUGAGCGAAAUGGUCAGCCAAGAUACUACCUUUGAUUGCUUUCUAAGAUCGGUAUUCGAUAUCAUACUCUGAUAACAACAUCUGCCAACGGGCAAUUCUCCCAGUUAAAGCAGGCUUCUCAAAUAUAUACUUGAUUGGAUCCAUUUUGGAUAUUAACCGAGUGGUAUGAUUUAACAUAUACUGGCGCAGACGCUUAGCAGCCCAAGCCAAUGCGCAACAAUUUUUCUCAAGCAUACAAUACCGAGUCUCACAGUCGGUGAACUUCUUACUGAGGUAGUAAAUUGAAAAUUCUUUCUUUCCAUUCUCAUCUUGCUAACCAAGAACACAACCCAUACUUUCAUCAAGCACAGUCAAAUACAUGAUCAAUGGUCUUCCUUCAACAGGUGGAGACAAAAUCGAAGGUUCAAGCAAAUAUUCCUUGAUACUGUCAAAAGCUUUUUGUCAGUCUUCGGUCCAAUCACAAGACUGAUCUUUCUGAAGAAGCUUGACUAUAGGCGCACAUGUGGCAGUCAUAUGGGAAAUGAAUCUGGAGAUAUAAUUCAAGCCCCCGAGAAAACCUUUGACUUGCUUCUCAGUUUUGGGCGCAGGCAUCUCUUGUAUUGCUUUGACCUUGGCAGGAUCAACUUCAAUACCCUUCUCGUUGACAAUAAAGCCCAACAACUUACCAGAACGAACACCAAAAGUACACUUAUUGGGAUUAAAGCGAAGUUUAUAUUUCCUCAAACGCUGGAAUAGCCUCAACAAAUGCUCAACAUGUUCAUCUUCAUUAAUUGAUUUAGCAAUCAUGCCAUCAACAUAAACUUCAAUCUCUUUAUGCAUCAUAUCAUGAAAAAGAGUAGUCAUUGCUCUUUGGUAAGUUGCACCAGCAUUCUUUAAACCGAAAGGCAUCACUCUAUAACUCUUACAAGGGGUUCCUGUAAUGAAUGUGGUCUUCUCCAUAUCUUCGGGUGCCAUCUUGAUCUGAUUAUAUCCAGAAAAUCCAUCCAUAAACGAAAAGACUUUGAAUUUAGCAGUAUUGUCUACCAAUAUAUUAAUGUGUGGCAGAGGGAAAUCAUCUUUCGGACUAGCUUUAUUCAAAUCUCUAUAAUCAACACACAUGCGUACUUUUCCAUCUUUCUUCGGCACUGGCAAAAUAUUGGCCACCCAUUGCGGAUACUCAGCGGUCACAAGGAAACCGACAUCAAUCUGCUUCUGCACUUCCUCUUUGAUCUUCACAACCAUAUCAGGACGCGUUCUUCUCAACUCCUCCUUGACUGGCGUGCAUUCUGGCUUCAACGGCAAUCUAUGCUCCACAAUAUCAGAAUCCAACCCAAGCAUGUCUUGAUAGGACCAAGCAAACACAUCUGAAUACUCUCGAAGAAGAUCAAACAACCCCUUCUUAGCAUCUGGACACAGGCGAGACCCAAUCUUGACUUCCUUCACAUCAUCUUCAGAACCCAAGUUGACUAGUUCAAUCUGCUCUUCAAACGGAUUAAUGGUCUUUUCAUCUUGCUCAAGAAGGCGAGAUAAUUCAUCACUCACUUCUACAUCACUUUCCUCCUCGGCCUCAAACACAGGGAAUUCAAAAUUUGGAGAAGAAGAAGGAUCAUUGUAUUUAAUUGGGUUAGGAACCAACCUGCAUAAUGAUUUGAUAUUUUGAUUUUAGAGAAGUGAAUAUUGUGACCAAAUAUUAUGCAGAUGGACAAUUAUAUUGUUUAUUUAUGUUUUUUGUGAUUACCAUUUUCAGAAUAAAGCAACAAGUAAAAACAAACAUCAUAGAUGUGGAUGAAUAAAAUUAAUUUUAUUAAUGAUCAAUUGAAAAUGCCCAAACAAGUCCACUUCUCCCUUAGGCAUAGGAGACGGAUUUAAAAACAUAUAAAAGUAUUUACUUAGAUUGAUGGAAAAUAACAGGAAUAUCAAUAGGAGUCUAAUUGUUGCACGUCUUUCCAUGCGUCACAAAAUUGGUGCAGUCUUCCUCUUCGUCAUCCUCUAGCACAACAGCUAAGUGUUGUUCAUUGCCAUGAAUGAACCCUCCACUACGGAAGCUGAGUUGUAUAUCUUCAGAUCUUGCAAUUGAUGAGCCUUUCUGGAACCCCAAACCGGUUAUGCCCUUGUUGUCGGAGACCUCUAUCAUGCGCCCCCACUGAUCAAUAGUUCCUUCUUCAACAAUCUUUUGAGCAUCUUUUAAUGAGGACAUAGGUGCCCCAACUCUCUUCUCAACAGAAAUAGAUAAGGCUUGGAACGGAGUCCCAACCUCAUCCUCAACUUCAACAUAAGAGAAAGAUGACAGGUGGCUAACCAAUAGCGCCUUCUCCCCACCAACAAUCACUAGCUUGCCAUUAUUGACAAAUUUCAGUUUCUGAUGUAGAGUGGAAGUAACAGCUCCUGUCUCAUGGAUCCAUGGCCUUCCCAUUAAGCAACUGUAGGCCGAUGGAUAUGCAUUACUUGAAAAGAAAUCUGAAAAUCACUCGGACCUAUCUUGACUGGAAGGUCUUCUUCACCAAUUACUGUCUUGCGCGAACCAUCAAAGGCUUUGACGAUUACACCGCUAUACCUCAUGAGUGCUCCUUGAUAAGAUAGCUUCGACAAAUUUGACCUUGGAAGCAUAUUCAGUGACGACCCGGUGUCAAUAAGCACAUUUGACAAAGCAUCUUCCUUGCAAUUCAUCGAGAUAUGCAAAGCCAAAUUAUGGUUUCUUCUCUCCUUAGGGAGUUCUUCAUCAUAGAAGCUGAGAUUAUUGCAAGAAGUGAUGUUAGCCACAAUAUGAUCGAAUUGAUCCACUGUAACAUCAUGUUUUACAAAAUCUUGUUCCAGAACUCUCUGCAGUGCUUCUCUAUGCGCUUCGGAAUUCAUCAGCAGAGACAACACUGAAAUUUUUGAGGGGGUUUGGAGCUGCUGCUCUACCACAUUGAACUCUCUCCUUUUGAUUAGUCGGAGUACCUCAUCAUCAUCAUUGGCUUUCAAAUUGCUGGAUUCACCAAACUUAUCUUUCGAACAGCCAACUGGGUCCACACUAGGCACCUCCACUUUCUUCCCAACAAUUGUUUCCUCUUUAUCCUUUGGGAACACCGGCCCAAACACUCGACCACUGCGGGUCACCUUAGUAACAUCAGCAAUGCUCACUACUGAACUAGUCGUAGGUAACGGGACCUCUUGACCAUCCUUCAUCAUUGUAGCAUUAUAUUGAUACGACACAACUUUAUCAGAUGAAUACGGGACUGGGCCCGCUAACCGUAUUACCAACGACGAUACUGAUCUUUAACUGUUGUUGUUACUAGAGUCAUACUGGAUUACCAAUCGCUCUUGUUGCUUGAAAACGGGCACUAUGACAUUAACAUCGUCAUCUACAUGACGGGAUUGAACAAUUUAGAUCAUUCCUUCAUACAUCAGUCGUUGGAUGUCCCUUUUCACAACCUCACAACCCCUCGGGUUAACACUACAAACAGCACAACCAUCAUGGUCGUGCUCGCAUUCACUUACCAAACAAACAUCCUUAUGCAUCUGCACUAAGGACCUCCUGAUAAAAUGCACAUAAAAGACUUUGAAUUCUCCAGGACAACCGCCCACCAUAUUCACAGAAGAGUUCCCAUGAGCGGGCAAAAGGUUUACUUUCACAUUUGGCGCACGGUCCUCGAAGGACACCAUACCACUCUUCAUUAAUUUCUGAACCUCAUACUUCAAUGGAUAACAAUUUUCAAUGUCGUGUCCGGGUGCUCCUUGAUGAAAAGCACAACAGAGCUCAGGUUUAUACCACCAAGGAAGUGGUUCUGGGAUCUGUGGCGGGUUUCUUGGUUGAAUUAAGUUUUAGAGAACUAAGGAUAGAUACAACUCUGUAUAUGACAUAGGAAUCGGGUCAAAAGAGACCUUCUUCCUCUCAAAGUUUUGCUGAUGAUGAUUAUUAUUGGUAUUGUUGUUGUUGUAGGUGUUCGUUCAUUGUUGUGGUUGUUGUUGUUGACGUUGUUGUUGUUGAAUUGGUGUUGCUUGUUGAUUAGAAAAUACCAGAAUUAUCGAGGAUAAUUGAUGAUGAUGAUGUUGACGGGGUGUUGGGUUCCUUCUGAUCUGAGGCCUUUUCUGCCUCCCACUUAUUACUGCAUUCGUCUCACUAUCUUUCUUCUUACCGAAAUUACUACCAUAUCUCUUGCUCGUUGAUGCCUCAUCUUUUGACAAACGUCCCUCACGGACUCCUUCCUCAAGCCUCAUCCCCAUGUUUACCAUUUCGGUAAAAUCACUAGGGGCACUAGCAAUCAUUCAUUCAUAGUAAAAUGAACUCAGAGUUUUCAAGAAGAUCUUGUUCAUCUCUUUUUCCUCCAAAGGAGGAGUGAUCUGGGCAACCAAUUGUAGCGGGGUAUUCGUUACCAUUAGAGAUAUUGACUAAAUCCAAGGUAAAUCAUACAAGUUGAGUCGCCACCGCACUUUUAUUUAUCCAAAGGAAUGGUUAGAAAGCGAACAAAAACCUAAUAGUUUUAACAAAAACUAGUAAAAGAAAACAGAGAUCUGGGUAAGGGGGUUGGUUAUGUAAUGGGAAGGUGUUAGGCACCCAAAACAUUCUAGGUACUCCUAGGGNAGAAAGGAUAAAGAAACAAAACCACAAUGGAGUUCCUCUCUUGAGAUCAUAUUGAUGAUCCAAGUAACUCCCAUCUUUUGGAAUAAGCAAUCACAAAGCAUAAGCAAUCAAACAAGUCUCUUAAGAGGUCCUCAAUGUAUCUUGUGUCUUUUACUUUGGAUGAACAUGGCAAUGGUCCUUCAAUUAAGCUCAAAGAGAAUUCCCUAGCACAAAAGCACACACAUCAAAAGCUCCAUGAAGUAAAACAAGAAUGGACAAGAGUGAGUUUAGAGAUUUGGUCCCUCUAAUCCAUCUUCAUCAUGAAAGUCCAUUUACUCCAAUUUUGCAUAAGGAAAGUCCUAGAAUCUAAGUCCAAAUCUCCAUUCUUUGCGUAGGGAAAGUCCUAGAAACUAAGUCCAUUUCUUUGCAUUUGGUCCACAAAAAACAAAACAAAAACACAAGCACAAAAGUAUAUACACAAUUAUGUGCUCAAGUAAGCAAAAGGCAAAUGGCAUUAACAUAAACAUGGGCUCAAGUGAGCAAAGAGAAAAGCAAAUGGAUAAUAUGUGCAGGAAUAGUAAAUUGCAUAAAAGUAAAGAGCAAAAGGUAAAUGUUAAUUGUUAAUGGUUAGUGUUAGUGGUUAGUGUGCCAUAAGGCAAAUUUAGCGCUAUGUUAAGCAAUCGUAAUUGGACUUAUGUAGAAGUCACAACUAUCUGAGGCCGGUCAAUAAUAAUAUAGGCAACAACACAAGUUAGAAGUCUUGAUUAGUGAACCAAGUUNUCAAUCCACCGAGACGCUUCUUUCUUUCCUAAGCGCCCUUUCGGCGUUUCAACUUAGCGAGUGUUCUGUUUUUAGGCGGAAGUGUUUCUUGACUGAGCAUCUGCGUUACAGGCGAUGUGACUCUUCACCAUCCAUAGUUGUAAGUACUCAUGCACCGCCUGAAGGAGCUUCUCUUAAAACAUAUUGGGCUUCAUUAAUUAGGAGUCCAUUUCUCUCUACGAAUUCUUGGUUUGAAGGAUAAAAUCUUCUCGAGCACAAGGGUCACCUUACUUUGAAACACAUGAGGGUUUGACCUUUCUUAUCAAAAACUUUCUUCAUACCUUGGCUUUUUGAUACAAACUGACCAUGACACAUGGCAGUUAUCUCUUGCAUCUUCAAUCAAAUUCAACUGCUCAAACUGGUCUAAACACAUUCAACCUCAGUCAACAUUAGGCUAUCCAAGGCACCGCAAUGAAAGGGCAUCUCAACCUCUACGGGGAGCCACUGCUAUCCAUACCUACACAAGAGGAAGGGAGUUGCCCCAUGUGAAUGCGAUGGAUGUUACGAUAACCCAUUAAAGAAAAUGGAGCAUCAUCAUGCCAUCCUUAUAGGGUGACAACCUCUUCGGAAUUAAUUCUUCUGGGACGUUUUUGUUCGCGGCUAUCAAAUGCCCAUCAUCUUAGGAUCUGUAGGAGAAAGAGUAUAUGAUGUGCAAUCUUGAAGUCUUGCAAGAACUUCCACCAUAUUGUUAUUCAAGUUCGAUCCAUUAGUAAGUAAAUGAAUUUACUUUCGGCACCCUACGGACAAUAUAACUUUGAUUCUGAAUAAAAACCUUUACAACAACUUGCUUGAGUUACUUUGCUUACGACUGCCGCCUUCACCAGUUGGUGAGUAGUCAAUUGCCACCAAAAUGAACGAUGUCACAUUUCGAAGACUUUGGUCAUCAUUCCCAUCAGUUAUUCAAAUUUCCCACAUGUGAGAAGGGCCAUGGGGAACGGUAACUUCAAUAGUGUCCGGAAAGAACAUUGAUCUUAUCGACAAUAAAUUUUACACUUAGAUGGCUUUCUUCACAAAAUAUGCAAUAGUCAGAUUCCAGGGUUGUCAACCAAUAGUAAUCUUGCUCUCAAAUCUUCUUCGCCUUAGCAUGUCCAUUGGAAAUGGAGUUACCAAAGGACACCUUCAUUGACAGUUCACGUCUCGACAAGUUUGCGUCGUGUCUAAUCCAAUACAUCUGAGCAAAAACCAUGAUCGAACAUCGAAGUCAACCCAACCUAUGCACCGAGUCCACGUCGAAGUUUCUACUUGUUAGACUAUUAUCACCAUUCAAGUAGAAAUUGCCGAGCUAAAUCUUCUCAAAGUCUUCUUAUUUUUCAAAUGCAUAAUACGAGGUAAAUAUGACUUUGAGAGAGAAACAUUUGAAUAUCGCUAAAUACCACGACUUCUCGAUACUUUGAUCUCUUCAACACCAACAUCUGACCGCCAAUGUUCGUAAGGCAGCAUCAUUUGCAAUCGGUUUUAUCUCGAGGGAUAUGAUGAAACUCAACCUUGUUACAGAGUUUGAAAUAACCUCCUCGAUAUUCAUAAUAGCGUAUUUAAACCGGAGUUGAUUUGUCUCCCAUUCUCUUUGCUUGAUCUCACAACCAAAAGCCAGAAAUCACCGAAAGACAUCCAAAAUACUUGAUUCUGAGAUACAUGAACCUACUCGCAGCCCCAUCAUGCAAGCUUAUAUAUCUGCCAUAUUGUGAGUAACCAUUGAAAAGUCAAAUCUAGCUGUAAUGGUAGAUGCGUGCAUUUGAAGGAAGUAAUAAUCACAUGCCCCAAUGCCAUUUCCAAUAAUUGAGUUAAACAGCUCCCAUCAAAUACAAAUGGCCCCAACGGGAUACAGGUUCUGGGCCCUUGCUCAAGGCAAUGGUUCAUUCACAAAUAUUUCAUAUUUUAAGUACAAAAUCUACUUUAUAUCAGAAGCGAUCAUGCAUUGCCAUGUCUGGUAAUCUUUCACAUUGUUGGUGAGCGAAAAUGGCUUCAGCCAAGAUACUACCUUUUAGAUUGUUACUCUAAGAUACGGUAUUCGAUAUUCAUACUCUAGCAUGUAACACAUCUGACCACACGGGGCAAUUCUCCCAUGUAUAAGCAGCUUUCUCAAAUAUAUACUGAUUGGAUCCAUUUUGGAUAUUAAAACCGAGUCGGUUUGAAUUUAACAUAUAACUGGCGCAAGACGCUUCAGCAGACCAAGCCCAUGCGCAACAAUUUUCUCAAUGCAAUACAAUACCGAGGUCUCACAGAUCGGUGAACUUACUUACAUGAGAGUAAGUAAAUUAGAAAUUCUUUUCUUUCCAUUCUUCAUCUUAGCUAACCAGAACACAACCACAUUACUUUCAUUCAAGCACAGUCAACUACCAUGAUCAAAUAUGUCCUUCCAUUCAACAGAGUGGAGCAAAAUCGAAAGGUUUCAAGACAACGAUUCUUUGAUACUAGUCAAAAGCUUUAUGUUCAGUCUUCGGAUCCAUCACACAGACUGAAUCUUUACUGAGAAGGCUUUGCUAUAGGCCGCACAUGUGGCCAAGUCUAAUGCAGGAAUGAAAUCCUGGGAGAUAAUAAUCAAGACCCCCGACGGAAAACCUAUUGACUAUGCUUUAUCUCAGUUUUGGGACGCAGGCAUCCUUUCAUAUUGCUUUCGACCUUGCGCAGAUCAACUCAAUACCCUUCUCGUAAUGGACAAAAAAGACCAAAACUUACCAGAACGAACACCAAACGUACACUUAAAUUGGGAUUAAAGCGAAGUUCUUAUUUCCGGCAAACGCAUGGAAUAGCGCAACAAAUGCUACAACAUGUUACUCUUCAUUAAUUGAUUUAGCAAAUCAUGCAUUCAACAUAACUCAAAUUCUCUUUAUGCAUCAUAUCCAUGAAAAAGAAGUAGUGCAUUGCUCUUUUCGGUAAGUUUAGCACCAGCAAUAUCUUUUAAACCGAAAAGGCAAAUCACUCUUAUAACAGGAAUAGUUCCCCAAGGUGUUAAAUGAAUGUGUCUAUCUCCAUAUCUAUCGGGAUUUGCCUUCUUGAUCAUGUUAUAUCCAGGAAAAAUCAUCCUAAACGAAAAGACUUUGAAUUUGCAAGUAGUGUCUACCAAUAUAUUAAUGUGAUUGAGCAGAGGAAAUCAAUCUUUUGGGACUAGCUAUUAUUCAAAUCUCUAUAAUCACACACAUGCGUACUUUUUCCAUCUUUCUUCAGGCAAACUUGGCAAUUAUUUUUAUGGGCCAACACCCCCCACCCAUUGCGCGAUACCAGCGGUCACAGAAACACCGACAUCAGGCUGCUUCUGCACUUCCUCUUUUGAUCUUCACAACCAUAUCAGGACGCGUUCUUCUGCACUCCUCCUUGACUGGGCAUUCUGCUAACGGCAAUCUAUGUCCCAAUAUCAGGAAUCCAACCCAAGCAUGUACUUGAAUAGGACCAAGGAAACACAUUGAAACUCAUCGACAAGAAGAUCAAAACAACCCCUUCUUCUAGCAUACUGGACACAGGCGAGACCCACAUUCAUUGACUUUCCUUACAUCAUCUUAGAACCAAGAUUGACUAGUUCCAAUCUGCUCUUCAAACGGAUUAAUUCGUCUUUUCAUCUUGCUCAGAGGCGGAGAUAAAUUACAUCGACCACUUCACAUCACUUUCCUCCUCGGCCUUCAAACCAGGAAUUCAAAAUUUGGAGAAGAAAAGGAUCAUUGUAUUUAAUUGUUAGGAACCAACCUGCUAUGAUUUGAUAUUUUUGGAUUUUAGAAAGUGAAGAUUGUGACCAAAAAUAUUAUGCAGUGGACAAUUAUAUUGGUUAUUUAUGUUUUUUGUGAUUACCAUUUUCAGGAGUUAAGCAACAAGUAAAAACAACAUUCAUAGAUGUGUGAUGAAUAAAUUAAUUGUUAUUAAUGUCAAUUGAAAAUGCCCAAAACAAGUUUCCACUUCUCCCUUAGCUGGAGCGGAUUUAAAACAUAUAAAGUAUUUACUUUUAGAUUGAUGGAAAAUAACAGGAUAUCAUUAGGAGUUAAUUGUUGCACGUCUUUCAUGCGUCACAAAGUUGGUGCAGUUUCCUCUUCGUCAUCCUCUAGCACAACAGCUAAGUGUUGUUCAUUGCCAUGAAUGAACCCUCCACUACGGGAAGCUGAGUUGUAUAUCUUCAGAUCUUGCAAUUGUGGCCUUUCUGGAACCCCAAACCGGUUUUUGCCUUGUUGUCGGAGACCCUUAUCAUGCGCCCCCACUUGAUCAAUGUUCCUUCUUCAACAAUCUUUUGAGCAUCUUUUUAAUGAGGGACAUAGGCUGCCCCACUCUCUUCUUCACAGAAAUAGAUAAGGCUUGGAACGGAGUCCCAACCUCAUCCUCAACUUCAACAUAAGAGAAAGAUGGACAGGUGGUACCAAUAGCGAACCUGUCUCCCCCCAACAAUAUCACUAGCUUGCCAUUAUUGACCAAAUUUCAGUUUCUGAUGUAGAGUGACAGUAACAGCUGCCUGUCUCAUGGAUCCAUGGCCUUUCCCAUUAAGCAACUGUAGGCCGAUGGAUAUUUUGCAUUCCGUGAAAAGGAAAGCUGAAAAUCACUCGGACCUAGGGUUGACUGGAAGGUCUUCUUCCACCAAUUAUGGUCCUUGCGCGAACCAUCAAAGGGCUUUGACGAUUAACACCGCUAUACCUCCAUGCAGUGCUCCUUGAUAAGAUGAGGCUCUCGACAAAUUUGACCUAUGGAAGCUAUUCAGUGACGAACCCCCCCGGUUGUCAAUAAGACAUUUGACAAAGCAUCUUCCUUGCCCAUUAUCGAGAUAUGCAAGCCAACUUUGGUUUCUUUCUCUCCUUGGGAGUAUUCUCAUCAUAGAAAGCUGAAGAUUUUGCAAAGAAGUGAUGUUAGCCACAUAUGAUCGAAAUGUCCAACUGUAACAUCAUGUUUUUACAAAAAUCUUUGUUCCAGAACUCUCUGCAGUUGCUUCUCUAUGCGCUUCGGAAUUCAUUCAGCGAGACAACCUGACAUUUUUGAGGGGGUUUGAGCUGCUGCUCUACCACAUUUGAACUCUCUCCUUUUUGAUUUAGUCGGAGUACCUCAUCAUCAUCAUUAGGCUUUUCAAAUUGUGGAUUCACCAAACUUAUCUUUCGAACAGCAAUGGGUCCACCACUAGGCCACCUCCACUUCUCCCAACAAUUGUUUCCUUUUAUCCUUGGGGAACACCGGCCCAACAUCGACCACUGCGGGUCACACUUAAGUAACAGCAGCAAUGCUCACUACUGAACUAGGUCGUAGGUACGGGACCUCUUGACCAUCCUUCAUAUUUGGUAGCUUAUAGUGAUUACGACACAACUUUCAUCAGAUGAAUACGGACUGGGCCGCUAACGUAUUACCACGCGAUACUGAUCUUUACUGUUGUGUAUUAGAGUCAUAUGGAUUCCAAUCGCUCUUGUUUGGCUUGGGAAAACGGGCACUAUGACAUUACAUCGUCAUCUCAUGACGGGAUUGAACAAUUUAGAUCAUUCCUUCAGUACAAUCAGUGCGUUGGAUGUUCCCGUUUUCACAAAACCUCAACAACCCUCGGGUUAACACUACAAACAGCACAACCUCAUGGUCGUGCUCGCAUUCACUUACCAAACAAAACAUUCCUUAUGCAUCUGCAUAAGGACCUCUCGAUAAAAUGCACAUAAAAGGACUUUGAUUCUCCAGGAACAACCGGCCACCAUAAUUCACAGAAGAGUUCCCAUGAGCGGGCAAAAGGUUUCUAUUCACAUUUGUGCGCACCAGGUCCUCGAGACACCAUACCACUUUUCAUUAAUUCUGAACCUCAUACUUCAAUGGAUAACAAUUUUCAAUGUCGUGUUCGGGUGCUCCUUUGAUGAAAGCACAACAGAGCUCAGGUUUAUACACCAAGGAAGUGCGUUCUGGGAUCUGUGCGGGUUUCUUGGUUGAUUAAGUUUUGAGAACUAGAGGAUAGAUACAACUCUGUUAUGAAUAGGGAAUGCGGCGUCAAGAGACCUAUUUCCUCUCAAGUUUUGCCUGAUUGAUGAUUUUAUUGGUACUUGUUGUUGUUGUAGCGUGUUUCGUUUCAUGUUUGUGGUUGUGUUGUUGUUGACGGUUUGGUUGUUGUUGAAUUGGUGUGCUUGUGGAUUAGAAACUUAACCGAAUUAUCGAGGAUAAUUGUGGAUGAUGUUGACGGGGUGUUGGGUUCCUUCUGAUCUGAGAGGCCGUUUUCUGCCUCCCACUUUAUUACUGCAUUCGUUCUCACUAUCUUUCUUCUUGACCGAAAAUUUACCUAUUCUCUUGCUCGUUGAUGCCUCAUCUUUUUGACAAACGUCCUCACGGACUUUCCUCAAGCCUCAUUCCAUGUUUACCAUUUCUUUAAUCACUCGGGGCACUACAGCAUCAUUCAUUUCUAGUAAAAUGAACUCAGAGUUUUCAGAAGAUCUUGUGCAUCUCUUUUUCCUCCAAAGCGAGGAGUGACUGGGCAACAAUUGUAGCCGGUUGUUUCGUUACCAUAGAGAUAUUGACUAAUCAGGGUAAAUUCAUAACAAGUUGAGUCGCCACCGGCACUUUUAUUUAUCAAGAAUGGUUAGAAAGCGACAAAAACUAAUUAGUUUUACAAAACUUAGUAAAGAAAACAGGAGAUCUGGUAAGGGGGUGGGGUUAUGUAAUGGGAAGCGUGUUAGGCCCCAAACAUACUAGGUAUCCUAGGAGCCCUUUUCUAACUUGUUGUAAGGUUGUUGUUUUAUGAAAAUUUUGGUUUGUGCAAACAAUGAUUGAAGAAGAUGAGAGAGAAUAUGACAAGGCUUUAUUUUACAUUUUGUGUUGGCUGGAUAACAACCCUUGCCUUACGUACCAUUUAUAAAAGUUAGGAUCAAAGACCUCGUAGUUCGGUAAAAAAUCUCCAAUGCGUUUGUUGAAUUGAUUGCGUCCAAAAAGCCUUUAAGGUCUGUUUGUUAUCAAAUGGGAGAAAACUCAACCAACCACAAUCCACCAAUGUGAGGAUAGUCCGUAACAUGCUAGUGAGGGGUUAAACCAGUAAUCAUGGAAGACUCAUUGUCCAUCACUAGCUUAUAAGGUGAGUUUAUAUCUUCCACAAGGUAACUCCAAAACCUAAUGCUAAGGUUAUGGAAAAUUGAUUAAGAAGUGGCCAUUGAACCACAAAAAGACACUUGCAUGGGUUGAUAUUUACCAUUUGAGUAUAUACAAAAAAUGGUCAAAGUUGAUUUAAAGUGAUUUCAAUUCAAAAUUUGUGUUAUGAAAAGAAGGUUUGAACAAUCAAAAGCCCUUAAGGCUUAGGUUUCUAAUGUUGGGGGAAAACAUGGUUAAAUGUUUGCACAAAGAGUUUUGGCUUGGUUAGAGUGGGAGAAGAGGAAGAUGGCUAAAUCCUACAGAAAGCCAAAGAGAAAGGAUAAAGAAACAAAACCACAAUUGGAGUUCUCUCUUGAGAUCUAUUGAUGAUCCAAGUAACUCCCAUCUUUUGGUAAGCAAUCAAAGCAUAAGCAAUUCAACAGUCUCUUAAGAGUCCUCAUGUUAUUCUUGUGGUCUUUUACUUUGGCUUGAAACAUGGCAAUGGUCGUUCAAUUAAGCUCCAAAGAGAAUUCCGCUGCACAAAAGCACACACAUCAAGUCCAUGAAGUUAAAACAAGAAUGGACAAGAGUGAGUUUAGAGAUGGGUGGUCCCUCUAUCCAUCAUUUCAUUCUGAAAGUCCUUUACUCCAAUUUUGCAUAAGGAAAGUCCUAGAAUUCUAAGUCCAAAUCUGCCAUUCUUUGCGAGGGAAGUUCCUAGAAACUAAGUCCAUUUCUUUGAUUUGGGUCACACAAAAAACAAAAACAAAACCACAAGCCAAGUAUAUACACACUUAUGUGCUCAAGUAAGCAAAGGCAAAUGGCAUUAACAUAAACAUUGGGCUCAAGUGAGCAAAGAGAAAGCAAAUGGGAAAUAUGUGCAGGAAUAGUAAAUUGCAUAAAAGUAAAGCAGCAAAAGGUAAAUGAUUAAUUUGUUAAUGGCUGCUUCAGUGUUAGUGGUUCGUGGCCAUGAGGCAAAUUUCGCGCUAUGUUAGCAAUCGUAAUUGGACUUAUGUAGAAGUCACAAUAUCUGAGGCGGUUCAAUAAUAUAAGGCAACAAAACACAAAGUUACGAAGUCUUGAUUAGUGGAACCAAGUUCAACAACUUGCCAUGCGCAAAAGAAAAGAGAAUUGUUCUUGUAUUGGUUUUAAGCUUUUUGCAUGGAUUUAGAAAACAACCCUAUCCUUAAUGGCAAAGUCAUUCACUUGAUCAAUUGAUCAAGAUGAAUUAGAUUGAUCAGGAAGAUUAAGUCUCCCUAAUCAAUGGCUUAACUUAUCAACGCUUUCAACUCAGUGAUCAAAAAGAAAAUAAGAAGGAAGAAGAAGGAGACAUGGAUAUGGAUAAUGAAAAUGGAAAGACUCAAAAAAUGCAUAAAGUGAAAUAAGAUGUACCGAUCCAUAUGGUAUUGUACUAACAUGACAUUGAGAGUCAAAGUCAAACACUGAUAAAUCAGAAAUGAGAUGAAGAUGGGAAAUUCAACAAUAAGCAAAAUAUUUGUGGCAUUUUUAAAAUUUAAAACUUAAACUUGAAUUAAAAUAAAAGAGAAGGUCAAACUUCAAAAUCACUUCAAUCAACCUUGAAAGGUCCAAGUGAUUUAAUCCAAGUUCAACAAGGUUAACAAAGUUGGACAAAAAAAUUCAGCACUUUUAAAGUCAGAAAACUAUUUUUUAAUUUCAAUUAAAAACUGAAUAAAAAUAAACCUAAAUUGAACUAAAAUCUCAAAAUUAAAUCUUCAAAUCAAUUUAAAAAUUUGAUGAGAAUAAUUUUUCUAGAUCCUCAUCAUUAUCAAAUUAGGUUAGGAAAUAUUUUGCAUUUUUGGAAUAUAAAAAACUAUUUAAACUGAAUUAAAAAAUAACCAGGAAAGAGAAAAUUCACAAAUUAUGUGCAAAUUGAUGAAAUAAAAACUAUUAACAUCAGAAUAGGAAAUAAAAGGAAUUUAUUUGGAGACUAAUGCAAUUGGUCCCAUAAUUUUUGGAUUAAAAUGAGAGAGAUAUUGAUUUUGAAAUAAAGGAAUAAACAAAACUAAAUCAGAAAUUUAGAAACUGUGGAAAAUCCUGGCGCGUUUAGAUUCUCCUUUCAUUAAAUGACGGAUGAUUCUGAGCAAAUGGCAUACAGCGCGCAUCAUAGGACCAAGUCAAUGCGACCACACAUUAGAUUAAAUAAAAGUUCAUAACAAUAAGGCAAGAUUCAAAUCUGGGAUAAUGAAUCCAGGGUCCACAAAUUGCCAUCUGGCAAUGAAGGACGACCACCGGAGCCACCUUCUUCUCCGGUUGAGCUUGGAUUUCUGGCCAAAUUGCACGAGAUCCAAAAGGCAAACCCGAAAAUGCACGAUCCAUACAUCUUCAGAAAGCCUGGGAUGCAUGUACAUCAAUCCUUGCUUUGCCACUCAAUUCCACUCUAAGAUCUCUAUAUUGAGGAGAAAUCAGGAUGGAAGUUCUGUAGGUGAUUCAUCAUGAACUCAAUGGAUUUCAAAAAACUAAAUGGCCAUAUCAUGAUGCCUCUAUUGAAGAGGCACUCAGGUCAACACAAGAUCCAAGCAAAUGGUCAUAUGGAUGAUGAGAUUCGAAGAAAUACCAGUUGGGUAAGAGUAAGCUUGAUUUCUUGGAAACUAGAGCUUGUUCCUUGCUUUCUUUGCCAAAACAGAAGAUCAAAUAAGAUGAAAUGAUGUGACAGGUUCAGAAGCUUUAGAUCCAAAGGGAUUCAACCAGAUUGUAGUUGAAUUUUGGAUCUGAAAAAUUUGGAAAGAAAGUGAGUACUUCUGUGGUUUGGUUAUGGUUUCAGUUGUUGCGAUUUUCUGGCGCCAUUAAGGCUGAGGAGCGUGAGGCGGAACGGCUCUAUACUAUAGCAAUUAGAAAGGCAUGCAUUGAAAAUUUCAUGUUGCAUGAAUAAAGGGGGGCCUCCAUGCAUGGGCCUGUACAGGCGCAUGGAGGGUCCCAAAUCUAAUUGAUUUUGGCAGCUGUCGUUAACAUCAGCUAUUUUGUUUGGACGUGGAGAAUAAUGAUGUAUUGGCAUUAUGCAUGAAGUCUGAAUCAAGUUUCCAUAAUUCACCAAAAUAUCCCUCCUUCGAAAAUGCCAUUUGCCCAACCCAAAUCCAAACAUGAUCAUGUGAGUAAUGGUUGGAAAGGUCUUGAUGUAAGGAACAAUUGUUAUGUUGGGCAAAAAUCCAUUUGAAGUGUGGAAAUUUAUGAAAUUUGAGUUUAAAGUGCAAGGUGUAUGACAUGUCAAAGCAAGGUUUCUAAAUUUGGCCAAUUUUCAAGCCCUUUAGUGUUGAUGAUUCAAGCCUCAAAUGAAAAAACCUCCAACAUAAAAGUUGUAUAUCUUUUCAAGACAAUGAAAAUGGAAUUAAAUUUUGCAUCAUUUAUAUUUUUGAUGAAAGAGUUAUGGGCACUUGAAGUUGGAUUUUUUUGCCUUUUAAUGCAUUUAGCCCAAAAGGACCUAUAAAGUAUUGCAUUAUCACAUGUAUUUCCUUUGAGAUUUUGAAAUUUUGUUCAACAUAAAAUUUGGAGUAGACAUCUUAAUAUUUCCAAUGCAUUUGAUCCCACCUUAAAAUCAUAACAAAUGAAUGAGUUAUGUCCUUAGGAAGUUGACCCAAAAUUAGGGUUUCAGUCAAAAUGACCUAUAAUGUCUUGGUAUGGGAGAUGACCUUCCAAGUUUUAAAUCAAUUUUUGAUGAACAUGAAAGUUGUUCCUUUUGUCCUUAAGAACAUUUUUGAUUUUGGAAUCAUCUCCAUUUGACCAACACAUAACAAGUUAGGUCUUAGUGCAUUUCAAAAUAGUCAGAUGAAUUGACUGAUCAACUUCUCAAGUCCAUGACGUAUAUCUUGAUGAAUUGAUGAUUGAGGACACUCAAAUAAGUUCAAAUAUGCAUGAAAUGAUGAAUUAAAGAACUUCCCUUGAUUGUAUUUGACCAUGGGCUAAGGUUGCUUCAGGAGCAAGGCAUUGUGGUGCACAGAUGAAUUAGGGUUUCUUUGGGGAACUAACCUCAAAUCCUUUGACUUGCUUUGAUAAAAAUGAUGAAAUGAGAUGCUAGGGGGGAAUACUUGAUGGAUGAGAGAAUUGGUAACCAUUACCAUGCUUGCUAUCAUCUCCUUUUGACCUUACCCUUGCAUAAGUGAUCUCCUUGAAGCUCUUGACCUUGUGAUUGCUCAAGCUACAAACAAAAGAUGUUAGUGACAUAUUUUUGUGCUUUUGGUUAGUGAACAAAAUAAGAAAAGCAAUGAUAUACAAUUCAAGCAUGCUUGUGUCUCAAACCACCCACAAGAAGUCUAACAACAAAGGUAAGAGGGAAACAAGAUGCUAAGGAUCCUUGAGGCAAUGCAAAUGCAAUGUUAUGAUGCCAUGAGGGAUCUUAGGGACAAAAUUAGGGUCUUACAGAUGCCCCUAUUUAAGGUCAUUCUAGCCGGAGAAGUGAAGGUUAAAAUCUUCAUCUUGACAGGGUAGAAUGGGCUUAAAUAAUAACAAAGAGAUGAAUUUUGGUCCCUAAGAGACCUCAUGAUGCAGAUGUAUGCAUGCAAAUGGCAAAACUCUAUGGGGAUAGGCGUCCACAAAAGAAAAAGAAAUCCGGAGAAACUAAAAAAUCCCGAAGGAGUAAUACACUCACUAGGGAGACAGAGACUCUACCGGGGAGUAAAGGGCUGAAAAUGCGUGAGCAGGUCACGACUUGAGACUUGCUGAGAGACAUAGAGAGAAUCCAUGAAAUAAAUCAAUGGAAGAACUCGUGCUGACUCGAAGAUGCAUGUAUUGGGGAAUAUGCCAAUACAGCCAAAAAUUAUCCGCAAUGGAUACUUCGGAUGAAAAUCCGGACUCAGGUGCGGAUGUCCCCUAAGGACUCAACUGACGAAGAUCCCGACAGAAAACCUCCUAGGGAAGCAACUGUAUCAGGUAUUACCGGUUACUGGGUAAUGAGCUCAAAGAGACGUGUGAUCUGAACACCGGUAUAAGGGUGAGAGAACAACAUGCUCGGGAAGAAUGAGUAUCUAAGACCGGUAUAAGGGUGAGAGAUAUCAAUCAACCAAAUCAUCUGAGGAAGACAUGAUCUGAACACCGGUAUAAGGGUGAGAGAACAACAUGCUCGGGAAGAAUGAGUAUCUAAGACCGGUAUAAGGGUGAGAGAUAUCAAUCAACCAAAUCAUCUGAGGAAGACCUAAAAAGGUAUAUUUAAACUCAGGAUAAUCUGACUCCACAGGGGGCAAAAAGUCAUAAUAGGGAGCAGAAGGAAGGAACACCAAGGAUGCCGGUUACUGGGCAUAUAAUAGGUGACCAACCAAAGCAUGAAUUGGGGAAGAUUCCCAAAACACUCAUCAUCCAAAAAGAGGGCAAAAGGCAAACUCGAUUAUGGGAUGGACAUUCGAUUCCGAAACAGGGAUACGAAUCUUACUAAACUAGGGAAGAACAAAAGGCUUCAACCAAAGAGUGCAUGAGAUAUAUUAUCUAUUACCGUCAAAACGUAGAUAAUACACUCGCAUGGAAGAUUAUCCACAACCAGUUACUGGGUUAAUAAAGGAUAGAUCAACCGAGAGGGAAGGGCAUCGGGAUACCGAAACUAGGUAUAUAAUGAUGACCAAUCAAGGGGAGCAACAAACAUUACCGGCAACCGGUAUAUGAGAGAUGAUUUGUUGGGGAUAAAAUUGCCUAAUCAGAGCAAUUAUCCAAGAGAAAAAAGGAAUAUCAACACCGAAUAUUGGAUAGUGAUAACCGUCAAGGAGGGGAUUACAUCUACCGGAUACUGGGUAGAAAACCACGGAAGAGUAACCGUCAUCGGUUAGGAUGAAUAAGAAGGUUACCUCUACAAAGGAGAGAAAAUAGGGUUUAUAACUACCAGUAUAAGGGUAGAAAACCACAAACUCCGCCGAGGAUAAGAUGAAUGAUUACCGAUUACUGAGCAAUUAUUCAUUUAUACCAUGGGGAAACACAGGAAAUAGUCACAAGAGGCCAACUUAGGAUCAAACCAAAAAGGCAAACUGAAUCAAGACUCGUCCUAGUGAGGAUAUAACUCAAUAGGGGAACCCAUCCCAAUAUAUGUGUUGGGAGGAAGCGAAAACAACCAUUGUCCAUGAGGAUAUAAUUCAGUGGGGAAUGCGGAACGAAAGAUAAACACUUUCUGCUUAAUGGGCUGACUCUACAUUGAGGGAUCAGACACCAACAUCUGCUUGGGGAAUGUAUUACCAACUAGCAGAGGAAUAACAAACAAAGGUAUAUGGCAAAGAAUGCAACAUGAAUAUCCGAAUGUUUGAAAAUUAUAUGCACACAUGCAUGAUUUAUGUAUGAUGAAUGCUGACAAACAGACAUUUCUAACACGAACAACUUCAAAGAAAUAAGCACACAAACAUCCGGUACUACAUCUCAAGAGAGAAAGCCAGGUCCACCGGAGAGUACCCAAUCUGCCGGGGAAUCAGAGAUACCAGGAAGCAACAAAAUCUCUGUAGGGGAUGAAUCAACGGUUAAUCCGGCUGGGGACAGGAGUUUAUUGCACAGAUAAAAUCUGCCGCAUAAGCAACUCUACUGGGGAAUCCAUCUGAGGAGGUAAAGGGAUUCUGGGGAUCAACCACCAAGUAUCGUACCCACCAAGGAGAUCACAUCUGCUGAGGAGAUUGUUACUCUGCUAAAGGGGAGAGUGGUGAAUAUCCCAACGAGCAUUCCACUCAGUAGGAUAAACCACAAAAAGGCUCCGGAGGAAGAAGAUACAGUCAUGCCAGGAAUAUGAACAAAUGUCUUACCCUGUUGGAGAUCAUACCAUCCUUGGGAGAGCGUUGAGGAUCUCCUAAGUAUUCUUUUGUCAUUGUGAAUGUUCACUUUGUUUAAAAACAAUUUAUGAAAAACUCGUUUAUUCAAAACGAUGAUAUUUUCUCAAUUUAAAACAUGCGAAGCAUUUGUUGAAUAGAAACAAAUAAGAGUGCAAAUAGUUGGAUAAAAGGCUCAAAUUUAUUUGAUGGAAUGGUAGUCUGCAAAUGGCAAGACUCCAUAGAUCUUUACAAAAUUUGAAAUUGGUGAUAUAUAUUGGAAAAGGGCUACAUUAAACAUAAUGCCCAUUUCUCCACCAAUUCUGAAUUCGAUGUAUUUGAAGCUUCGGUUGAUGACGAAUGAGGAAGAAUCUCCGACAGAUGACAGUUGUAGAACAAAGUCUUGUCAGGAUGCAGUUACUUGCCAAAUCCCUAAUUUUUGCCUAGAUUGCCCCAGGAUGAGGUACUCAAUCUAGCGGGAUACCUAUGUUCAUUUUUUUAUGUCUCUAACUUUUGCCUGGACCGCCCUUUCGGGUUUUCAAUCCACCGAGACGCUCAUUUUUGCCUAAGCCGCCCUUUCGAGUUUUCAACUUAGCGAGCUAUUCUGUUUUUAUUUUAAGGUGAAGUAUUUCUUGACUGCAUCUGAAUUCACAGGACGAGUGAAAGCCUCCCCAUCCAUAGUUGUAAGUAUCAAAACACCGCCUGAAAAGGCUCUCCUAACAACAUAUGGACCUUCAUAGUUUGGAGUCCACUUGCCCCUGGAAUCGGGCGCGAAAGACAAGACUUUCUUGAGCACAAGGUCACCUUCUCGGAACACACGAGGCUUGACCUUCUUAUCAAAGGCUUUCUUCAUUCUCUGCUGAUAUAACUGACCAUGGCACAUGGCAGUCAAUCUCUUUUCUUCUAUCAAGUUCAGCUGGUCAUAACGACUCUGAACCCAUUAAGCAUCAGUCAACUUGGCUUCCAUCAAAACUCUUAUUGAUGGGAUCUCCACCUCUACUGGGAGUACAACCUCCAUGCCAUAGACAAGAGAGAAAGGGGUCGCCCCUGUUGAAGUGCGGACAGACGUACGAUAUCCAUGUAAAGCAAAUGGCAACAUCUCAUGCCAAUCCUUAUACGUGACAACCAUCUUCUGGAUAGUCUUUUUGAUAUUCUUAUUAGCAGCUUCAACAACCCCAUUCAUCUUGGGUCUGUAAGGAGAAGAAUUAUGAUGGGCGAUCUUGAACUCACUACACAACUCUUUCAUCAUUUUGUUGUUCAAGUUAGAUCCAUUAUCAUUAAUGAUCUUGUCUGGCACUCCAUAACGACAUAUAAGUUGAUUCUUGAUAAACUUCACGACCACCUGCCUGGUCGCAUUUGCGUAUGAUGCCGCUUCAACCCACUUGGUGAAGUAAUCAAUUGCUACGAGAAUAAAUCUAUGUCCGUUGGACGCUUUUGGCUCUAUCAUGCCAAUCAUGUCAAUUCCCCACAUGGAGAAAGGCCAAGGUGAUGAGAUCACAUUCAAAAGUGUCGGGGGAAUAUGGAUCUUAUCCGCAUAAAUCUGACACUUAUGGCAUUUCUUCAAUCCCCACAUGGAGAAAGGCCAAGGUGAUGAGAUCACAUUCAAAAGUGUCGGGGGAAUAUGGAUCUUAUCCGCAUAAAUCUGACACUUAUGGCAUUUCUUCACAUAUUUGCAGCAGUCAGACUCCAUUAUCCACCAAUAGUAGCCUGCUCUCAACAUCUUUUUAGCCAUGGCGUGUCCAUUGGAAUGAGUACCAAAUGAACCCUCAUGGACCUCAGUCAUCAAUAGUUCUGCUUCGUGUCUAUCCACGCAUCUGAGCAGCACCAUGUUAAAAUUUCUCUUAUAAAGCACAUUGCCAUUGAGGUAGAAACUGCCUGACAAUCUCCUCAAAGUCUUCCUAUCUCUUACAGAUGUCCCAGGCGGGUAAACCUGGUUCUGAAGGAAGCACUUGAUAUCGUAAUACCAUGGCUUAUCAUCUUUCACAUCUUCUACUGCAAAUACAUGAGCUGGUCUGUCCAAGCACAUUACAGUGAUAUUGGGGACUUCAUUCCAAAGUUUAACCGCAAUCAUCGAAGCAAGUGUAGCAAGAGUAUCUGCCAUCCGAUUCUCAUCUCGAGGAAUAUGAUGGAAGUCAACCUCAGUAAAGAACGUUGAAAUCCUCCUCACAUAAUCCUUGUAUUUGAUGAGACCAGGCUGAUUCGUUUCCCAUUCACCUUUAAUCUGAUUGACAACGAGGGCCGAAUCACCAUAAACAUCAAGAUGCUUGAUCCUUAGAUCAAUGCAUUCCUCCAAUCCCAUAAUACAGGUCUCAUACUCAGCCAUGUUAUUCAUGCAUUUGAAAGUUAGCCUUGCUGUAAAAGGGAUAUGUGUGCCCUGAGGAGUAAUAAUUACUGCCCCAAUACCAUUUCCGUACUGAUUUACAGCGCCAUCAAACACCAUACUCCAUCUGGAACCAGGCUGUGGCCCUUCAUCGAGGGUAGGCUCAUCACAAUCUUUCAUUUUCAAAUACAGAAUCUCCUCAUCUGGAAAAUCAUACUGAACUGACUGAUAAUCCUCGAUCGGCUGAUGUGCCAAGUGGUCAGCCAAGAUACUACCUUUAAUUCGGAAGACUCGAGCUAUGAGUUAUAGUAUGAGUCUAUUGUUGUAUUGCCAACGGGCAAUUCUCCCUGUUAAAGCAGGCUUCUCGAAGAUAUACUUGAUUGGAUCCAUUCUAGAUAUCAACCUAGUCAUAUGAUUUAUCAUAUACUGGCGUAAGCGUUGAGCGGCCAAGCCAAAGCACAACAUCUCUUCUCAAGCAUCGAGUAUCGAGACUCACAACCAGUGAACUUCUUACUCAGGUAGUAGAUGGCAUAUUCUUUCUUCCCUGAUUCGUCUUGCUGACCAAGGACAUAACCCAUUGAGUCUUCAAGAACUAUCAGAUACACGAUCAAAGGUCUUCCUUCCACUGGUGGAGACAGGAUUAGAGGUUCAGACAGAUACUCUUUAAUACUGUCGAAAGCUUUCUGGAAAUCCUCGGUCCAAUCGUGGGACUGAUUUUUCUGGAGGAGCUUGAAUAUCGGCGCACACAUGGCAGUCCUGUGGGAUAUGAAUCUGGAAAUAUAAUUCAAGCGGCCAAGAAAACCUCGGACUUGCUUCUCAGUUUUGGGCGCAUGCAUCUCUUGUAUUGCUUUGAACUUUGCGGGAUCAACCUCAAUACCUCUUUCACUGAUAAUAAAACCCAAUAACUUGCCGGAACGGACUCCAAAUGUACACUUGUUGGGAUUCAGACGAAGCUUGUACUUCCUCAAACGCUGAAAAAGCUUCAACAAGUGCUCUACAUGUUCAACUUCCGUUCUUGACUUAGCGAUCAUAUCAUCAACAUAUAACUCGAUCUCCUUGUGCAUCAUAUCAUGAAACAAGGUGGUCAUAUCCCGUUGAUACGUGGCUCCGGCGUUCUUCAAACCGAAGGGCAUCACUCGAUAACAGAAUGUUCGCCAAGGUGUGAUGAAUGUUGUCUUCUCCAUAUCCUCGGGUGCCAUUUUGAUCUGAUUAUAUCCGGAAAAUCCAUCCAUAAAUGAGAAGACAUUGAAUUUAGCUGUAUUGUCUACCAACAUAUCAAUAUGUGGUAGAGGGAAAUCAUCUUUCGGACUAGCUUUAUUCAAGUCUCUAUAGUCCACACACAUCCGGACUUUUCCAUCUUUCUUAGGCACGGGCACAAUAUUGGCCACCCAUUGAGGAUAUGUAGAAGUCACCAGAAACCCCGCAUCAAUUUGCUUCUGAACUUCCUCUUUGAUCUUCACUGCCAUAUCAGGAUGAGUUCUUCUGAGCUUCUGCUUCACAGGCACGCACUCAGGCUUCAAGGGUAAGAAAUGUUGCACAAUAUCAGUAUCUAGACCUGGCAUGUCUUCAUAUGACCAAGCAAAGACGUCAACAUAUUCUCGUAGCAAUUCAAUCAACCCCUUCUUAACAGAUUCUUCCAGAAGUGCCCCAAUCUUUACCUCUCGCACACAAUCUUCAGACCCCAAGUUGACUGUUUCCAGAUUCUCAAGAUGCGGCUGAAUGAUCUUCUCUUCAUGCUCAAGUAGACGGGUAAUCUCGUCAGGAAUCUCUUCAACAUCAUCUUCUUCCGCCUCAAAUACAGGGAAUUCAAAGUUGGGAGAUGGUGUUGGAUCAUUAUGUUCAAUGGGUUUGAUCAACCUGCAUAAUGAUUUUGGAUAUGAAAAGCUUUAGAAUUCAAACAAGGCAAAUCAUUAUGCAGAUGAAAAGAUUGAUUUUAUUCUAUUUUUUAGGGUUUUAUGUGAUCACCAAUUUCAUGCAAAAAGCAAAAAGGGAAAAUAAUUGGAAAAACAAACAUUUAACAUGAAUUUAUUGAAUGAAAAUAUCAUUGUAUUUAUGUUGCCAACAAUGUCAUCACUCCUCCUUUUGGCAUGGGAGAAGGGUUUUUAAACAAAGUGAUCAUUACGUUGACUUAUGGACAACUGUUGGAAUAUCCACAGCGACCCAAUUGUUGCAGACCCCUCCAGGGAUGAUGAAAUUGCCAGAAUCCUUUGUAUCUUCUUCUAAAACGGCAGCAACCUCCUCAUCUAGACCAGUGUGGAUGAAACCUCCACUCUUGAAUAACCCUUGCUUGUUGAAAGUACCAGAAGAAAAACCUAUGCCAGCCCGGGACUCGUUGUCUUCUAACUCAAUCAUUUUUCCUAAACCAGUGGUUGCACCACGCUCAAUGGCCAGCUUUGCAUCUUUGUAGGAAGCAAAUGAAGGAGUUCUCUUCUCAAUAGGCUCAGCAAUAGAUAAAGCUUGGAAAGGAGUUCCAACUUCAUCCUCAGCAUCUAUAUACGAGAAGGAAGACAAGUGGCUAACCAGGAGAGCCUUUUCUCCCCCUACCACCACCAGUUUCUUAUUCUUCACAAAUUUCAGCUUCUGGUGUAGGGUGGAUGUCACGGCACCAGCCUCGUGAAUCCAUGGUCUGCCUAAGAGACAGCUAUACGAUGGGUGAAUGUCCAUAACCUGGAAGGUAAUUUGGAAAUCACUUGGUCCAAUCUUGAUUGGGAGAUCAACCUCGCCAAUCACAGUUUUGCGAGACCCAUCGAAAGCCUUCACAACUACUCCACUCUGCCUCAUGGGAGGCCCUUGAUAUGACAGUUUCGAGAGAGUGGAUUUUGGCAAUACGUUCAGUGAUGACCCAGUGUCCACCAGCAUAUUGGACAUGGCGUCGUCUUUGCAGUUCAUAGAUAUAUGCAAUGCCAAGUUGUAGUCUCUUCCCUCCUCGGGGAGAUCAGAGUCACAGAAACUCAAGUUGUUACAAGCGGUAAUGUUCACAACAAUGUUAUCGAAUUAUUCUAUCGUGACAUCAUGAUCUACAUAUGCCACAUCCAAAACCUUUUGCAGAGCCUCUCGGUGUGGUUCUGAAUUUAAAAGCAAUGAUAUGACAAAUAUUUCGGAUGGCGUUUGUGGGAGUUGGUCUACAACAUUGUACUCGCUUCUCUUGAUGAGACUCAGCAUCUCAUCACAGUCUUCUUUCAUAUUGCCCCUUAGGCCAACAGAAGCAGAAGUUCCCAAUGUAGAGGAGGGCUUAACAACAAGUGUCGGAUUCGGAGUGCUCCCAGCAUUCCUUAUCGGACGUUCAAUAGAAUCAGUAUUUGCUUGGGGCUUCGGUGGUGCUGAAAAUACACGACCGCUAUGUGUCAAACCACUAACAUCUGCAAUGUUAACAACAGAGGAAGAUGGUAAAGACACUUCUUUCCCAUUUUCUAUCGCAACAGCAUUGUAGCGAUAGGGAAUCGCCUUUUCGGAAGAAUAUGGUACUGGUCCGGCCGACUUGAUGGUCAAGGCAGGAGAAACCUUUUGCUUGCUACUAUCAUACUUGAUAAUAACGGGCUCGAGGAUCCGAAACACUGGAGAAAUUACGUUGACCUCGUCAGCAUCUUCGUCAACAUUUCUGUUUUGAAGGAUCUCAAUAACUCCUUCAUCCAGCAUUUCCUGAACAUCUUUGCGCACCUGGCAACAACCUCUUUGAUUGACAGAACAAACUCGACAUCUAUCAUGGUCAUGCUCAUAAUGACUAUACUCACAUAGAAAACGAUGCAUCUCGACCAGAGACUGUCGAAUAUGACUGACAUAUUUGACUUUGUACUUGCCAGGGCAACCCUAGACCAUGUUAACAUAUUUCCCAUGCUCGGGCAAUGGGUUCUUCUUCACAUUAGGACCUACGUCCUCGAAACACAGAAUGCCACACCUCACAAGGUCUUGAACCUUGGUCUUCAAAGGGUAACAAUUUUCCACAUCGUGGCCGGGAGCACCAGAAUGGUAAACACAGUGUAAUUCAGGCUUAUACCACCACUGGGGGUUAGCAGGUAUAGCCGGUGGCUCUCGCAGAGUAAUCAACUUCCUCUCUAUCAAAGAGGGAUAUAAUUUUGCAUACGUCAUCGGAAUAGGAUCGAAAGUGACCUUUUUCCUCUCGUAACUCGUGCUGGUUUGAUUACUGUUUCGAGGUUGGUAGGCCUGCUGCUGCGGUCGGUGCUGCUGAUGUUGAUAUUGCGGAUGUGGUUGUUGAUUGGUGUUAUGCUGCUGGUACUGCUGAUUGUCUCUGAAAACCGGUGCUAUAUGAGCCACCUGGUGCUGGUUACCGGCGGGACACACGGUCUUCCUCCUCACAGAGGGUCUUCUUGGUUUUACAUGGGAGGUCACAACAUCUGCCUCGCCAUCUUUCUUCUUUGCAAACGCCCCAUAUCGUUUGGUAGAAGAGCCUUCUUCUCAGGUCAAACGUCCUUCUCUAGCCCCUUCUUCUAGACGCAUCCCCAUAUUCACCAUCUCGGUGAAGUCAGAAGGAGCGCUAGCAAUCAUUCGCUCAUAAUAAAAAGAACUUAAGGUCUUCAAAAAGAUCUUAGUCAUCUCUUUCUCUUCUAGCGGAGGCACGAUCUGUGGUAUGCCAACUCUCGCCACCUCUGGGCGUACUCUUUAAACGUUUCCUUGUCCUUCUGGGACAUGGCCCUCAAUUGAUCCCUAUCGGGAGCCAUAUCUACAUUGUACUUGUAUUUCUUGACGAAGGCCUCGCCAAGAUCGUUGAAGGAUCGGAUGUUCGCACUGUCUAAACCCAUGUACCAACGCAGAGCAGCACCAGACAGACUGUCCUGAAAGUAGUGUAUGAGCAACUGGUCAUUGUCGGUCUGAGUUGACAUCUUCCUGGCAUACAUGACCAGGUGGCUGAGAGGGCAGGUAUUUCCCUUGUAUUUUUCAAAUUCAGGGACCUUGAAUUUCACAAGAAUCUUCACAUUGGGAACCAAGCAGAGUUCGGUAGCAGACUUGCCGAAAAGAUCUUUUCCUCUGAGAGUUUUCAAUUCCUUGCGAAGCUCAAGAAAUUGGUCGUUCAUAGCGUCCAUCUUCUCAUAGACAUCUGGACCUUCAGAUGGCUGAGAAUGAUAGAUGGUGUCGUCUACCCUGGGUAUAGUAUGCACGAUAGGAGGAGGAACAACAAGGACCGGGCUAGAUGCCGGCAUAGAAGCAAAGGUGGGAGCAGGACCCUCGGGCAUGAAAUUGGGAGGCAUCCCCCACGGGAAUCCGGUUGGCAUGGCCGUUGGAGCAAAGUAUGCACUGGCUGCAGCCACAGUCGAGGAGACAAUCUCAGAGAUGACUGUCCUCUGGGGAGGAGUUGAAAGUGUCGGAGAAGGCUGGCUCUGGGCAGCCAAGAAUGAUUCCAUCAAGGCACUUAAUCUGGCCACUUCCUCUUUCAGCUCGCGGUUCUCUUGUUCUAGAUGAUCCAUCAGUCUUGAAACGUUGGCUCUGGUGUAGUACCGGUGAGUCAGCUUGUCUUCAAAAUAAAUGAAGAACACAGAGUUAGACCACAGGACAAGAAGCCGGGAACAAAACCUGCUUAUGCACAUGAUGCAUGCAAUGGUUGUGCAUAUGAUUUUUCUUUUAUUUUCAAAGGAACUUUUAGGGUUCUAUUUGCAAAUUUUUGGAAAUAUUAAACAUUUAUCACAUAUGGAAAUAUCUCAUCAAAUAAUAUCGGGAAAAGAAGUACAGCAUCGUCAAUCAUAUACAAGAGAAAAGGAAAAUAGUCAUCCUAUGGAUCCCUAGAAAAAAUCAUCCAAAGCUCGGGACACAGGAAGAUAGGAUGCACGAAGCCUCUUCACCUCCCUCUCAUAGGCUGCCUCCAUAUCUGCCUUCUCCUUGGCGAGUCGAUCAUACUUCCUCUUCCAAAACCUGGAAGACUGAGGAAGUAGAGAAGUCCAUGCAUCAUCAGGAUCAUCAAUAACCUGAUGUUCGAGGAACUCUAUCAAAGCAUCCUUCUCCUUGAUCUGCUGAAGCAACUCUUCCCUUUCACGGAUCCAAGCACAUGAUCGGUUUUCGCCUCUCAACUCCUCUACUCCUUGGUCAGGGAGGGUGAAGGCCCAGCCAUAACCAUAGGUGUAGGUCUGAUACUCGUAAAGGCAUGAGAUACUCAGACGCUCUCUUCCUAACCCAAGCAGUGUAACAUUCCAAAGCAACACAAUUCGUUGGCCCCAACUCCUUUCCUUCCUUUCCUAUGAAUCUUGCCGCCACGCGCGAAACAUUCCUGCCCUUCAAGCCUUGGGGAUCUUUACCCUCCUGGAAGAACACACCUCUAACAGAAUGUUAUGGGUUUCAUCCUUUAGGGGGAACCCAAGCUGACGACGUGCUAAAACAGGGUUGUAGUUAAUCCCACCACAUGUACCAAGAAGAGGUACAUUGGAGAAUUCACCACAAGAGUCAAUAAUCUGCACACCAUCAUACACGCGGUUGUACCAAGAGAUAUCAUUAUUAGUGAGAGACAUAAGUCUCGUGGACCACCGUAGACAUCCUUUGUUCUCCUUGAAGGCGACCGUCUGCGGUAAGUGAGAAAUAAACCACUUAUACACAACAGAGGCAAACAACACACAAUGGCACCACCACCCUUUUGCAUUCCUCAUAUGCAAAGAGAAAUAGGUAUCACCCAACAGAGUUGGAACGGGAUUAAGAUUAGAGAAAAUCCUAAUAGCGUUCACAUCCACAAACUUGUCGAUGUUGGGGAACAACACUAAUCCAUAGAUGAGAAGUACAAAUAUGGCUUCAAGGCAUCCUCACUCAUGGCCUUCCCAUACACAAUAGCUUGAGCAAUGAGGAACUCAGAAGGGAGACCUUGAAUUCCACCUUUGGUAGUCAUAUGAGCACCAACCAGAGAUUCAUCUAUAUGCAACAUGUCUGCUAUCUCUUGAGAAGUAGGAAUAUUCUCCAAGCCACUGAACGACAACUGUUCUAGAAUAGGUAUACCCACAAGGUAGGCAUACUCCUCAAGGGUAGGUGUUAGAUGCCCAAAAGUGUUUAUUUGAGCUAUCAAAUAUGGGCCUCUUUCACUCCUUUUUGUUGCUAAAGUGUUCGACACCGCCUUUGUUUUAGAUGAAUUGCAAUACAAUGAUAAACGAUCUUGGUAACUUUAAUUUGUGCGUUAUUGUGUAGGAAUUAGGCAUGAAAUAAUAGAAAAUGAAGGCACGAGAAAGUUGGAAAAGGGACCAAGAAAAGAAUGCAAUUAUCAGCAUGCUCGCUAGGCGAGUGCUGUGGCGAAGUGCUCGCUAGGCGAGCACCCAGUGAGCUGCUAGCGAGCAUUCCCAGAAUUUUACAGUAGCAAAGUCAGCCAACUCGCUAGGCGAGCAUCCAGCGAAGGUGGUAGCGAACACGCCCAGACUUGGUCAAAAGCAUAACCAGCACUUACUCGCUAGGCGAGCACCUAGCGAGCUCCCAGCGAGCAAUUCCAGUAGCAAAACCAUCUAAGCUCGCUGGAGCGAAGGUGGAAGCCUAGGCUUCGCCUAGCAAAGGUUUUGUUCGCCUAGCGAACAUGAAAUCUGGACUUAGAUAUUUUCUGGGCGCAGGCACUUCUGGUGGCCUAUUUUGUUGCUCGCUAGGCGAACCAUUCUGCUCGCCUAGCGGGCAUGACAGCUCAGACAACAGUAGUAUACGUAGUAGGGGCUACUUUUUGGAACCAUACUUUGUACUUUCAUAACUUAGCAUUUUUCUUAGAUAUUUUCCAGCAUUGCUCUAGAGAUAUUUUGUAACCUAGAAACACAUUUUCUUCACUUUUCUUCAUCUCUUAACAAUAUUCCACAAAAAGAAGGUGGGUUCCCAUCCAAUCUUGAUUCUUCGACUUGGAUGUUGAUCAACCCUCAACCGAGACUUGUUGUACAAGCCACCAUGAAUAUGAGUGGCUAAGUUCUUCAUUUUGUCAAGGUUAGAUGUAGAUGAUCAUAAGAUUUGUGUGUAUAUGAGAUGAUCUUCAUUUGUAAACUCUUUAAUGGUGAAUAUAUGGUGAAAACUUUGUUUUAUUGAAAACUCUUUGUGUUGGUUUAUGAUCGAGAGAUGUUUACCAACUCUUUUACCUAGGUUUCAUCCAAUCUUGUUUGUUAGCUAGAGAUAGUAAUGAAUGAUUUUGUUCACCAUAAGGUUGAACCAAAAAGUUUCCAUUUUGAUAGAUUGUGUUAGAGAUAAACAAUGGAUCAAAAUGGGAAAACUCACAAUGUGUGUUAGAGAUAAACACGUUGGGAGGACUUUGUGAAAUAGUUUAUCAUCUAAAGGAGUUGAUGAGUCUUGUUGAUCGAAAGUAUACAUGUAAAGUGAUCGUCGAACCCUAACUUUGACAAUCUUUAUCAAAUAGAAAAACCAAAACUUUUACCGCAUUUUCUUACACUUUUAUGCAAGCUAACGUGACUAAAACCAAAACCCCCCUUGUUACUACGAGUUAAGAAUUAAAACAACUGUCGAACGGCGGCGAUAUCUCACAAUCCCUAUGGAGACGAUAACAAAAACCCGACACUAAAUUCUACAAUCAACAAAAUGGCGCCGUUGCCGGGGAUUAUGAAUUGAUAUUGCGAGCAUCGCAAUAGUUGCUAGAUUUUUAGCUUUCGAAUUUUUGACUUGUGCUUGUAAUUUGGUUGGUUUAGUGUGCAACUUUCGUUUUAUGCGAGGGCAGAUUCCUGAGAACAAACUUCUUUUUGAUUCUGAGAUCGAAAGAACCGCAAGGAGACUGAAUAGCAUAACGAGACGAAGGAGGCAACAAGCUAGACAACGACAAGAGCAAGGAGAAAGUUCUUCUAUAAUACAUCCACCACCUUUCAUACCUAUCAUGGAUCAACCACCACAACCACCGCCCAUUUCCACACCAUGUGUAAACAGUCCAAGGAAUACUGCUCAGUUUGCCAAUCACACGGGAAGGCAAGCCGAGAUGAAGACGGGAACUCUUAACUUACUAUAUGGAAGUCCAUUCACCGGAAUGGACCAUGAAGAUCCCUUUGCUUUUCUCACCAAAUUUUAUGAGAUAGCAUUGGCUGCCGGAGUUGAUCAAGCUCAAGAGCUACCGUUGUUCAAAAGAUUAUUUCCCCACGCUUUUCUAGGCAAAGCGAAAGAUCGGUACUUGGAUCAAACACAUGCGGUCAUGACGGAUUGGAACGUGUUAGAAGAGAAGUUCAUUGAAAGAUUUUUCUCCCACAACCGUUUCAUGGAAUCCAAAACGGCCAUCUAUGUGUUUUCGCAAGGAACCAACGAAUCGUUGAAUGAAGCAUGGGAGAGAUUCAAAUCCAUGCUUCGGAAGUGCAAAGGGCACGGUUUUGAUGAAUUGACGCAAAUCCACAUUUUCAAAAAUGGCCUUCAACCAAAUUGCAAGACUUUGUUGGAUGCUACCUCGGGUGGUUCUUUGUUGUCUAAAAGCGCUGAAAAAGCUACUGAUAUUAUUAAUCGAAUGGCUCUAAAUGACCUCCAAAUUCAAAGUAGAGGAAACUCUUUGAAGAAACCGGGAGUGCUUGAACUUAGGACGAACGAUGUUAUUCUUGCCCAAAACAAAAUCAUUUCUCAACAAGUUGAACUCUUGACUCAACAAAUAAAAGAGUUGAGAGAACCUUCAAAAGCUAAACAAAUAGCUUGUUGUGAGCUUUGCAAAGGUGGGCAUGACACCGGAUUUUGUGCACCUCCCGGGUUCGAAGAAGUAAACUACAUGGCGAACCAACGAGACUACCAACCGAGGCAACAACAACAACAACCGUAUCAACCACAUCCUCCAAAUCAACAACAACACUUUCAAGGGAAUCAAGGGUUCCAACCAAGGAGUAACUAUUACCAAAACCAAGGUUAUGGGGGUGGUUCUUCUAGCCGUCAAAACCCUCCCCAAAAUCCUUACCAACCUCAACAACCGUCGGUCGUGACUUCAAAGCUAGAAGAGACAUUGACACAAUUUAUGCAAAUGUCAAUGGCUAAUCAAAAGAGCAACGAUGCGGCGAUCAAAGAUCUCGAAACUCAAGUCGGUCAACUUGCUAAGCAACUAGCGGAACAACGACCAGGUCCAUCUUUUUCGGCGAACACGCAAACGAAUCCUAAAGAGCAUUGUAAAGCGAUAAUGACGAGAAGUGGAAGGGAGUUGAUUAAUGAGAAUAAAAAAAGAGAUGAGAGUGAAAAAAGAGAAGAUGAGGAGAAAAUAAUGGAGGAUAGUAUUGAUGGUGAAGUUGGGGAGUGGAGUGAGGAAGAAGUUGAAAAGAACGAAAAAAAUGGUGAAGUUGAAAAUAAAGAAAGUGUGGAAAUAGAGAAAAAUAAGAGUGAUGAAGUGAUGGUGGAGGAAGUGAAAAAGAAAAGAGCGAGAAGUUCUAGAGUUGCUAAAGGAAAGGAGGUAGUGAGCGCUACUCCAAUCCAAAACCUUCCUUAUCCACAUGAAGUUGCUAAAGGAAAGGAGGUAGUGAGCGCUACUCCAAUCCAAAACCUUCCUUAUCCACAUGCUCCAUCUAAAAGGGAGAAUGAACGACAUUACGCCCGGUUCAUGGAUAUUUUCAAACAACUGCAAGUGAACAUUCCGUUUGCCGAAGCAUUGGAGCAAAUGCUUAAGUAUGCCAAAUUCAUGAAAGACAUACUUACUAAAAAGCGGAGGUAUACGGAACCGGAGACAAUUGUCCUAGAUGCGAGUUGUAGUGCAAUCAUUCAACGGACGCUUCCUAAAAAAGAGGUUGAUCCGGGACGUGUUACUUUGCCGGUUAAAAUUGGUGAUGUCUAUGUCGGAAAAGGACUAAUUGAUUUGGGGUCAAGCAUUAAUCUAAUACCAUUGUCUAUUGUGAAGAGGCUUGGCAACAUUGAAAUCAAGGCCAUCCGGAUGACGUUGCAAUUGGCCGAUAAGUCGACUACCCAUCCUCAUGGUGUAGCCCAAGAUGUGUUGGUCAAAGUUGACAAAUUUUUCUUCCCGGUUGAUUUCAUUGUUAUUGAUAUGGAAGAGGAUGAUGAUGCUCCGCUCAUUCUUGGCCGACCGUUCAUGAAAACCGCGCGCAUGAUGAUAGACGUUGACGACGGUUUGAUGAAGGUGAGGGUCCAAAAUGAAGAAGUUACUUUCGAUCUAUUUGAAGCCAUGAAGCAUUCAAAGGAUAGAAGUGAUAGCUUUCGCAAUGAUGUGAUCGAAGAGGCAACUUUGGAGGUUUCUAAGCAUAUUCAUGAGAUAUCACCUAUGGAGUUAGCUCUUGAUGACUCCUUUGAAGUUUUCACAAUUGAAGAAGAGCAAGCUCUUGAUGAAUGCCUAAGGGAACUUGAUAGUCUAGAAGAGUUGCAUCCAUGGGAAGUUGAGGAGGAAGACUUGAAGAAGGAGGUUAAUGAAGAAAAAUCGCCGAUUGAAUUGAAAUUGUUACCUUCUACUUUGAAGUAUGUAUUCCUCGACGAGACCGAAGCAAAGCCGGUUAUCAUAAGCAAUCUUUUAACAAAGAAUGAAGAAGCCCGUUUGAUCAAUGUGUUGAAAAAUAAUCAAGAAGCCAUGGGUUGGACUCUUUCCGAUCUCAAUGGAAUUAGUCCUUCCUAUUGCAUGCACAAGAUCUUAAUGGAAGAGGAUUUUAAGCCGGUAGCUCAACCACAACGCCGCUUAAAUCCUACUAUGAAGGAAGUUGUUAGAAAGGAAGUUGUUAAGUUGUAAUUGCAUGCACAAGAUCUUAAUGGAAGAGGAUUUUAAGCCGGUAGCUCAACCACAACGCCGCUUAAAUCCUACUAUGAAGGAAGUUGUUAGAAAGGAAGUUGUUAAGUUGUUGGAUGCGGGAAUGAUUUACCCGAUUUCGGAUAGCCCAUAGGUUAGUCCUGUGCAUGUGGUUUCGAAGAAAGGUGGCAUUACCGUGAUUCAAAAUGAAAAAGAUGAGUUGAUCCCGACCAAAGUUGCAACGGGGUGGCGUAUGUGUAUUGAUUAUAGGCGGUUGAAUACCGCAACUGGAAAAGAUCAUUUUCCACUCCCGUUCAUGGAUCAAAUGUUAGAAAGACUCUCGGGGCAACAAUACUAUUGUUUCUUAGAUGGCUAUUCCGGGUAUAGCCAAAUUGCGGUUGACCCGGCCGAUCAUGAAAAGACGGCUUUCACAUGUCCUUUUGGAAUUUUUACAUACCGUAAAAUUCCCUUUGGGUUGUGCAAUGCACCGGCGACUUUCCAAAUAUGUGUGCAAGCUAUUUUUGCCGACCUUAUCGAGAAAACAAUGGAAGUCUUUAUGGAUGACUUCUCAGUAUUUGGUGGUUCCUUUAGUCUAUGCUUGGCAAACUUGGAAAUGGUUCUUGAAAGAUGUGUGAAGACAAAUCUUGUGCUUAAUUGGGAGAAGUUCCACUUCAUGGUGACCGAGGGGGUUGUGCUUGGCCAUAAAGUCUCUUCAAGAGGGCUUGAAGUUGAUCGUGCUAAGGUUGAAGUGAUUGAAAAGUUACCUCCUCC
rnacentral:lncRNA from 1 species